rnacentral:lncRNA from 1 species
UAGCAAGAGAUGGAGAAGAAACUACAGAACGGCUGCACAUGCCGAGCUUGCAGGAAAGGAAGAUCACUUGCCUCUAGCUGUUGAAUGGCCUUAAGGUGUCACAAUGCCUGGGCCAAAUGCAAAACCUUCUCCAGCUGAGAUGAGUUUAAUUGAGGAUCGUCCUCCUGAACCCUCUUCAGAGAUUCUGAAAUUGUACGCUUCUAUACACAGGGAAUAUAAGUGAGUAGCUGUGAACAAUACUCCAAUAAUUCAGGAGCAAGAAUCUGAAGGAAAUAAAAAGGCUGAGGACAGGGGUUGUAGAAGAGCA